UCUUAGCUUGCUAAGGCUGAUGGCGACCGGCGCACGGGUGAGUAACACGUAUCCAACCUGCCGUCUACUCUUGGCCAGCCUUCUGAAAGGAAGAUUAAUCCAGGAUGGCAUCAUGAGUUCACAUGUCCGCAUGAUUAAAGGUAUUUUCCGGUAGACGAUGGGGAUGCGUUCCAUUAGAUAGUAGGCGGGGUAACGGCCCACCUAGUCAACGAUGGAUAGGGGUUCUGAGAGGAAGGUCCCCCACAUUGGAACUGAGACACGGUCCAAACUCCUACGGGAGGCAGCAGUGAGGAAUAUUGGUCAAUGGGCGAUGGCCUGAACCAGCCAAGUAGCGUGAAGGAUGACUGCCCUAUGGGUUGUAAACUUCUUUUAUAAAGGAAUAAAGUCGGGUAUGCAUACCCGUUUGCAUGUACUUUAUGAAUAAGGAUCGGCUAACUCCGUGCCAGCAGCCGCGGUAAUACGGAGGAUCCGAGCGUUAUCCGGAUUUAUUGGGUUUAAAGGGAGCGUAGAUGGAUGUUUAAGUCAGUUGUGAAAGUUUGCGGCUCAACCGUAAAAUUGCAGUUGAUACUGGAUGUCUUGAGUGCAGUUGAGGCAGGCGGAAUUCGUGGUGUAGCGGUGAAAUGCUUAGAUAUCACGAAGAACUCCGAUUGCGAAGG
rnacentral:rRNA from 1 species